UGGAUCUGUACAAUAAACAACAUAUCUAAACAAAUAUACUUAAGUGAAAAUCCAGAGGAAACUGCUGCACGAGUAAAUCAAUCAGCUCUGGAAGCUGUCACUCCUUCCCCAUCUUUCCAGCAGAGGCACGAGAGCCUGCGGCCAGCAGCAGGACAAUCUCGGCCACCGACAGCUCGAACCAGCAGUUCAGGAUCCUUAGGAUCUGAGUCUACAAAUUUGGCUGCCCUCUCUCUAGAUUCUCUUGUUGCCCCAGACACCCCAAUACAGUUUGACAUAAUUUCUCCUGUGUGUGAAGAUCAGCCUGGCCAGGCAAAAGCCUUUGGCCAGGGAGGCAGGCGUACAAAUCCAUUUGGAGAAUCUGGAGGAAGUACAAAAUCUGAAACUGAAGAUUCUAUUCUUCAUCAGUUAUUUAUUGUCCGAUUCCUUGGUUCAAUGGAGGUGAAAUCAGAUGACCAUCCAGAUGUUGUUUAUGAAACUAUGCGCCAAAUCUUAGCUGCCCGGGCCAUCCAUAACAUCUUUCGUAUGACAGAAUCGCAUUUAUUAGUCACUUGUGACUGUUUAAAGUUAAUUGAUCCACAGACACAAGUUACAAGGCUCACAGUGAGUUCCGCAUGAUUUAAGCUUUGUUUUAGGUCCCUUUGUAUAUAUACACAUCUUACAACUUGAUAAUAAUCCUGAUCCUGUAUAUUCAAGUGUGAUAGUAUCAGCUAUGAUUGGUCUUUGGCUGUUGUAGUUAAGUCUAUGGCCAUCUCCAAAAAGUUGUCAUUGAACAUUUUAUGUAACUUAAAAGAAUUAACACAAUUCUUUUUGUAAUUUUUUUAACACAGUUCUUUUUGACGUUGUAAAAUGUGUUAAUGACUAAUAAAACAAAUGUAAUAUUCAACAA
rnacentral:sRNA from 1 species